rnacentral:rRNA from 1 species
GCGCACCAGUCGAGAAACCUCCGCAAUACGGGAAACCGUGACGGGGUCAUCCUGAGUGCUACCCGCAGAGGGUAGCUUUUCCCUGGUCUAAAAAGCCAGGGGAAUAAGCGGGGGGCAAGACUGGUGUCAGCCGCCGCGGUAAUACCAGCCCCGCGAGUGAUCGGGACGAUUAUUGGGCCUAAAAGCAUCCGUAAGCCGGCCCAAACAAGUCUUCUCUGAAAAUCCUACGGCUCAACCGUAGGGCUGGAGAAGAUACUGUUGGGCUAGGGGGUGGGAGAGGGCCGAGGGGCACUCUCGGGGUAGGGGCGAAAAUCCUAUAAUCCCGAGAGGACCACCAGUGGCGAAGGCGCUCGGCUGGAACACGCCCGACGGUGACGGGAUGAAAGCUGGGGGAGCGAAAAGGGGAUUAGGAAUACCCCCGUAGU